rnacentral:lncRNA from 1 species
CGCCGCGCUGCUCCCAGCUCCGAACGGCCCGAGGAUCUUCGGAGGGGACCGACGUCUGCCUGCUGCAGGCGGCUAAUCAGAAAGUCAUGGGCGCUGCCGCCUGCCUCUCUCGUCCGACCUUUGCUGCAGCUCGUCCCAGCACUGGUGCGGUAACCUUCAGCUGAUCAAACGGCACGUGGAGUGCGAGGGCACACGGCCUUUUCCUGCAACACCUCCCGAGGGAUGGGSACACGCCGCUCCUCGGGCCUGGGUGUGCUUGUCUGCCUUGCCACAGCCGCCYCUCCGUAGCCCUGCCAACUUCCGCAUGGUCCUGCACCUCGGCUAAUGCUCGUUUUGACAGCCAGGAGCCUGAGCAAGYGCGGUUUGCUGCGCUAUUCAUCACACCCGCGACGUCGACGUCGCGUGCGGACUGACGCCAGGGUCUMCGGUAAGGCUCAGACCUUUCAAGACCAAAAGCACGGGCCAGCACCGCGUGUGCUGCCGGCCGCCUCCGGCUGGCACGCACCCUCGGGUCUGCGGGACCUCGCCGGCAGAGGGAGGCACGAGCAGCUUGACCGCCUGUGUCCUGGCUCACCAGCCGUGUGUUAUUAUUACUGGUAGUCAAAUUAUGACAGGCUCCAGGAGCCUGAACCACGGGUCAGGAAUGUGCUUCGGAAGGGGAACUCCCGGCCCUCCCGCUUUGCCCUGCUUUGGUCUGAGCUGCAAAAGAAGUCUCAGAGCAGGCACAAACGGGAUUUCUUUUCAGCGGGAG